AUUGAACGCUGGCGGCAUGCUUUACACAUGCAAGUCGAACGGCAGCGGGGAGGAGCUUGCUUCUCUGCCGGCGAGUGGCGAACGGGUGAGUAAUACAUCGGAACGUGUCGAGAAGAGGGGGGUAACCACCCGAAAGGGUGGCUAAUACCGCAUAAAUUCUGAGGAAGAAAGCUGGGGACCUAGGAAUAGGCCUAGCGCUUUUUGAGCGGCCGAUGUCGGAUUAGCUAGUUGGUGAGGUAAAGGCUCACCAAGGCGAAGAUCUGUAGCGGGUCUGAGAGGAUGAUCCGCCACACUGGGACUGAGACACGGCCCAGACUCCUACGGGAGGCAGCAGUGGGGAAUUUUGGACAAUGGGGGCAACCCUGAUCCAGCCAUGCCGCGUGUAUGAAGAAGGCCUUAGGGUUGUAAAGUACUUUUGUUAGGGAAGAAAAGUCAGCUGUGAAUAAUGGCUGAUACUGACGGUACCUAAAGAAUAAGCACCGGCUAACUACGUG
rnacentral:rRNA from 1 species